rnacentral:rRNA from 1 species
AGAUAGAAAAUAGGUGCCCGUACCGCAAACCGACACAGGUAGUCAAGAUGAGAAUUCUAAGGUGAGCGAGCGAACUCUCGUUAAGGAACUCGGCAAAAUGACCCCGUAACUUCGGGAGAAGGGGUGCUCUUUAGGGUUAACGCCCAGAAGAGCCGCAGUGAAUAGGCCCAAGCGACUGUUUAUCAAAAACACAGGUCUCUGCUAAACCGUAAGGUGAUGUAUAGGGGCUGACGCCUGCCCGGUGCUGGAAGGUUAAGAGGAGUGGUUAGCUUCUGCGAAGCUACGAAUCGAAGCCCCAGUAAACGGCGGCCGUAACUAUAACGGUCCUAAGGUAGCGAAAUUCCUUGUCGGGUAAGUUCCGACCCGCACGAAAGGCGUAACGAUUUGGGCACUGUCUCAACGAGAGACUCGGUGAAAUCAUAGUACCUGUGAAGAUGCAGGUUACCCGCGACAGGACGGAAAGACCCCGUGGAGCUUUACUGUAGCCUGAUAUUGAAAUUCGGCACAGCUUGUACAGGAUAGGUAGGAGCCUUUGAAACGUGAGCGCUAGCUUACGUGGAGGCGCUGGUGGGAUACUACCCUAGCUGUGUUGGCUUUCUAACCCGCACCACUUAUCGUGGUGGGAGACAGUGUCAGGCGGGCAGUUUGACUGGGGCGGUCGCCUCCUAAAAGGUAACGGAGGCGCUCAAAGGUUCCCUCAGAAUGGUUGGAAAUCAUUCAUAGAGUGUAAAGGCAUAAGGGAGCUUGACUGCGAGACCUACAAGUCGAGCAGGGUCGAAAGACGGACUUAGUGAUCCGGUGGUUCCGCAUGGAAGGGCCAUCGCUCAACGGAUAAAAGCUACCCCGGGGAUAACAGGCUUAUCUCCCCCAAGAGUUCACAUCGACGGGGAGGUUUGGCACCUCGAUGUCGGCUCAUCGCAUCCUGGGGCUGUAGUCGGUCCCAAGGGUUGGGCUGUUCGCCCAUUAAAGCGGUACGCGAGCUGGGUUCAGAACGUCGUGAGACAGUUCGGUCCCUAUCCGUCGUGGGCGUAGGAAAUUUGAGAGGAGCUGUCCUUAGUACGAGAGGACCGGGAUGGACAUACCUCUGGUGUACCAGUUGUCGUGCCAACGGCAUAGCUGGGUAGCUAUGUGUGGACGGGAUAAGUGCUGAAAGCAUCUAAGCAUGAAGCCCCCCUCAAGAUGAGAUUUCCCAACUUCGGUUAUAAGAUCCCUCAAAGAUGAUGAGGUUAAUAGGUUCGAGGUGGAAGCAUGGUGACAUGUGGA